CAAGCUACUGUGAAAAUAGAGAAGUUACAAUGGAGACUUGGUCUGAAAGGUUUUCAUGGUGUGAGCAGUGAAGUAAGGAGUGGGGGCUUAGCACUUUUGUGGGAUGAGUCCCUCUCGGUCACGGUGAAUGAUUCCUGUAAUCGUUAUAUUGAUGUUAGUAUGGUCGAUGGUGGAUCGGGCACAGCUUGGCGGUGCACUUUUGUCUAUGGAGAGCCUAGGGUGGAAAAUCGUUAUCGUAUGUGGGAGCACCUCUGCUGGCUUCGAGCUCUCUCGCGCGAGCCAUGGAUGGUGUGUGGCAACUUCAAUGAAGCUUUGUGGCAACACGAGCAUUUGUCAAGGACAGAACGCUCGGAAGCUCAGAUGGUGGCCUUCAGAGAUUGUUUGGAGGUAUGUGAGCUCGAAGACCUAGGUUUCUCGGGGCUUCCGUUCACGUAUAACAAUGGCCAGGAUUCAGACCGUAAUGUUCAGGUGCGGUUGGAUCGUGCUUGUGCUGAUGAA
rnacentral:rRNA from 1 species